rnacentral:rRNA from 1 species
GACGAACGCUGGCGGCGUGCUUAACACAUGCAAGUCGAACGGUGAAGCGCCUUCCUUUUUGGUGGGUGUGGAUGAGUGGCGAACGGGUGAGUAACACGUGAGUAACCUGCCCCCUUCUUCUGGAUAACCGCAUUAAAGUGUGGCUAAUACGGGAUAUUCUGGGUCUGUCGCAUGAUGGGUCUGGUAAAGAGAUUGUUUCGGGGGGGGAUGGGCUCGCGGCCGAUCAGCUGGUUGGUGGGGUGAUGGGCUUCCAGGGGGGUGGCGGGUAGACGGCUUGCUCGGGUGGACGGUCUCACUGGGUGUGAGGCCAGGCCGAGACUGAUACGGGGGGCAGAAGCGGGGAAUAGGGCACAAUGGGGGAAAUGCUGCUGCGGCGGCGACGCGUGAGGGAUGGCGGCGUUCGGGUUGUGAACCCCUUUCGCCAGUGAAGCAGGUCUGCCUGGUUUGUGGGGGGGUUGACGGUAACUGGAUAAGAAGCGCCGGCUAACUACGUG